rnacentral:rRNA from 1 species
UACGUAGGGUGCGAGCGUUAAUCGGAAUUACUGGGCGUAAAGCGCACGUAGGCGGAUUGUUAAGUCAGGGGUGAAAUCCCGAGGCUCAACCUCGGAACUGCCUUUGAUACUGGCAAUCUCGAGUCCGGAAGAGGUGAGUGGAAUUCCUAGUGUAGAGGUGAAAUUCGUAGAUAUUAGGAAGAACACCAGUGGCGAAGGCGGCUCACUGGUCCGGUACUGACGCUGAGGUGCGAAAGCGUGGGGAGCAAACAGG